GAUGAACGCUGGCGGCGUGCCUAAUACAUGCAAGUCGAGCGAACGGACGAGAAGCUUGCUUCUCUGAUGUUAGCGGCGGACGGGUGAGUAACACGUGGAUAACCUACCUAUAAGACUGGGAUAACUUCGGGAAACCGGAGCUAAUACCGGAUGAUAUUUUGAACCGCAUGGUUCAAAAGUGAAAGACGGUCUUGCUGUCACUUAUAGAUGGAUCCGCGCUGCAUUAGCUAGUUGGUAAGGUAACGGCUUACCAAGGCGACGAUGCAUAGCCGACCUGAGAGGGUGAUCGGCCACACUGGAACUGAGACACGGUCCAGACUCCUACGGGAGGCAGCAGUAGGGAAUCUUCCGCAAUGGGCGAAAGCCUGACGGAGCAACGCCGCGUGAGUGAUGAAGGUCUUCGGAUCGUAAAGCUCUGUUAUUAGGGAAGAACAUAUGUGUAAGUAACUGUGCACAUCUUGACGGUACCUAAUCAGAAAGCCACGGCUAACUACGUG
rnacentral:rRNA from 1 species